rnacentral:other from 1 species
GGGGUGUUCGGAGAAACCUGUAUUUUGAACCUACAUAGUAACAUUGGGAAUCCUAUAUUUUAUGUUGGACGUCAAGCCUUCUUGAAUGGAAGACGAAAAUCAUAGUGCGGAUACCCACCUAGCCGAAGCUAGGGAUCAAAAUCCGGGGAACGGCAUUUCGGGUAAUCA